rnacentral:rRNA from 1 species
GUGUCAGCAGCCGCGGUAAUACGGAGGGUGCAAGCGUUGCUCGGAAUUAUUGGGCGUAAAGGGUAGGUAGGUGGUCUCAUUUGUCUGGGGUGAAAUCCUUGGGCUUAACUCAAGAAGUGCCCCAGAAACGGUGAGACUAGAGUACUGGAGAGGCGAGUGGAAUUCCCGGUGUAGCGGUGAAAUGCGUAGAGAUCGGGAGGAACACCAGAGGCGAAGGCGGCUCGCUGGACAGUGACUGACACUCAACUACGAAAGCGUGGGGAGCAAACAGGAUUAGAUACCCCGGUAGUCC